GCAUUAAUGGGGUAGUGAUAACCUGGGUCAUUGCCAUCAUAAAUGAAGUGUUAAGUCUCGACCCGCCGGGGGUUCGAUUCCCCCUUAAUGCA